UACGGAGGGUGCAAGCGUUAUCCGGAUUUACUGGGUUUAAAGGAUGCGUAGGUGGGUCUGUAAGUCAGUGGUGAAAUCUCCGGGCUUAACCCGGAAACUGCCAUUGAUACUAUAGAUCUUGAAUAUCCUGGAGGUGAGCGGAAUAUGUCAUGUAGCGGUGAAAUGCUUAGAUAUGACAUAGAACACCAAUUGCGAAGGCAGCUCACUACGGGAUCAUUGACACUGAGGCACGAAAGCGUGGGGAUCAAACAGG
rnacentral:rRNA from 1 species